rnacentral:rRNA from 1 species
AUUGAACGCUGGCGGCAGGCCUAACACAUGCAAGUCGAGCGAGCGGCGGACGGGUGAGUAAUGUCUGGGAAACUGCCUGAUGGAGGGGGAUAACUACUGGAAACGGUAUCUAAUACCGCAUACCAUCAGAUCUGCCCAGAUGUGAUUCGCUAGGAGGUGGGGUAACGGCUCACCUAGGCGACGAUCCCUAGCUGGUCUGAGAGGAUGACCAUCCACACUGGAACUGAGACACGGUCCAGAUUCCUACGGGAGGCAGCAGUGGGGAAUAUUGGACAAUGGGCGCAAGCCUGAUGCAGCCAUGCAGCGUGUGUGAAGAAGGCCUUCGGGUUGUAAAGCACUUUCAGCGGGGAGGCGUUACCCGCAGAAGAAGCACCGGCUAACUCCGUGCCAGCAGCCGCGGUAAUAC